rnacentral:rRNA from 1 species
UACGUAGGGUGCGAGCGUUAAUCGGAAUUACUGGGCGUAAAGCGUGCGCAGGCGGUCUGUUAAGACCGAUGUGAAAUCCCCGGGCUUAACCUGGGAACCGCAUUGGUGACUGGCAGGCUUUGAGUGUGGCAGAGGGAGGUAGAAUUCCACGUGUAGCAGUGAAAUGCGUAGAGAUGUGGAGGAAUACCGAUGGCGAAGGCAGCCUCCUGGGCCAACACUGACGCUCAUGCACGAAAGCGUGGGGAGCAAACAGG